rnacentral:tRNA from 1 species
UCCUCGGUGGCGCAAUUGGCCAGCGCAUCUGACUGUUAAUCAGGAGGUUGAAAGUUCAAGCCUUUCCCGGGGAG